CAGCAGCCGCGGUAAUACCGGCGGCCCGAGUGGCGGUCACUAUUAUUGGGCUUAAAGCGUCCGUAGCCGGGGUGGGAAGUCCUCCGGGAAAUCUGGCCGCUUAAAGGUCAGAAUGCCGGAGGAUACUCCCAGCCUAGGGAGCGGGAGAGGCCGAGGGUAUUCCCGGAGUAGGGGGGAAAUCCUAUAAUCCCGGGAGGACCACCUGUGGCGAAGGCGCUCGGCUGGGACGCGUCCGACGGGGAGGGACGAAGGCCAGGGGAGCAAACCGGAUUAGAUACCCGGGUAGUCCUGGCUGUAAACGAUGCGGACUUUGUGUCGGACAAGCUAUGAGCUUGUCCGGUGCCGGAGGGAAACCGUUAAGUCCGCCGCCUGGGGAGUACGGCCGCAAGGCUGAAACUUAAAGGAAUUGGCGGG
rnacentral:rRNA from 1 species